GACAUUGAGAAUCAUAACCUCCAAUGAUAUACAAAAGAUAAUCAUUCAAGUUUUGCAUUCAGUGUGUGUUUGUUUUUACAAUGCCUAAAGAAUAUAUUUUCUGAGCAGCUGCCAUGUUUUUUUUUUCAAUGAAAGUAAAUACUGGUUCAGGUGAACCAGCUAGUUUUGCGUUCAGUGUUGAAUAUAAUGUUUUCUCGCACCGAAAAAUUUAAAGUUACCAAUAGUUCCUGUCUUAACGCAUUGCAGCUGACCUUGCAACCUCGCUUGAAACCUUGGACAAAAUUGAUUUGAUUAUUUAAUGCAUGAUUGUUCAUUGUCAAUGUGGAUUUCUAUCUGCACUCGGCUUUACGGAUGCGGAUUCCCGGAUGCCCGGAUGAAUUUUUGUCUCAUCGCUAAUCCAAUCGCUAUGGAUUCAUCAUUCCAUACACGAAGAGCUAAAUAGUUAAAUCUAAUAAACUUCAUAAUACCAAUAUAUACUAUGAUUGAUAA